rnacentral:rRNA from 1 species
GGUUUGGGAGGGGUUUACGAACUCCGCAUGGUGAAGGAAAGUGCCAAGAAAAGCUGGUAAUGUGAUGAAAGCAUCAUACCCGUACCCGAAACCGACACAGGUAGGGAGGUUGAGAAUACCAAGGGGCGCGAGAUAACUCUCUCUAAGGAACUCGGCAAAAUGGCCCCGUAACUUCGGAAGAAGGGGUGCCCACGAGAGUGGGUCGCAGUGAAGAGAUCCAGGCGACUGUUUACCAAAAACACAGGUCUCCGCUAACUCGAAAGAGGACGUAUGGGGGCUGACGCCUGCCCAGUGCCGGAAGGUUAAGGAAGUUGGUCAGGGGUUCGCCCUGAAGCUGACGACCGAAGCCCCGGUGAACGGCGGCCGUAACUAUAACGGUCCUAAGGUAGCGAAAUUCCUUGUCGGGUAAGUUCCGACCCGCACGAAAGGCGUAACGAUCUGGAUGGUGUCUCAGAGAGAGACUCGGCGAAAUAGGAAUGUCUGUGAAGAUACGGACUGCCUGCACCUGGACAGAAAGACCCUAUGAAGCUUUACUGUAGCCUGGAAUUGUGUUCGGGCUUGGCUUGCGCAGGAUAGGUGGGAAGCACAGAAGUACCCCUUGUGGGGGGUAUGGAGCUAACGGUGAGAUACCACUCUGGCGAAGCUAGAAUUCUAACCUAGCACCCUCAGCGGGUGUAGGAACAGUUUCAGGUGGGCAGUUUGACUGGGGCGGUCGCCUCCUAAAAGGUAACGGAGGCGCGCAAAGGUUCUCUCAGCACGCUUGGAAACCGUGCGGCGAGUGUAAAGGCAUAAAGAGAGCUUGACUGCAAGAGUGACAACUCAAGCAGGGACGAAAGUCGGCCUUAGUGAUCCGACGGCACAGAAUGGAAUGGCCGUCGCUCAACGGAUAAAAGUUACUCUAGGGAUAACAGGCUGAUCUCCCCCAAGAGUCCACAUCGACGGGGAGGUUUGGCACCUCGAUGUCGGCUCAUCGCAACCUGGGGCGGAAGUACGUCCCAAGGGUUGGGCUGUUCGCCCAUUAAAGCGGUACGUGAGCUGGGUUCGGAACGUCGUGAGACAGUUCGGUCCAUAUCCGGUGCAGGCGUAAGAGCAUUGAGAGGAGCCUUCCUUAGUACGAGAGGACCGGGAAGGACGCACCGCUGGUGUACCAGUUAUUCCACCAGGAGUAGACGCUGGGUAGCUAAGUGCGGAGCGGAUAACCGCUGAAAGCAUCUAAGUGGGAAGCCCACCUCAAGAUGAGUGCUCUCACUACUAAAGUAGGUAAGGUCACGGGCAGAACACCCGUUUAUAGGCUCUAAGUGGAAGUACAGCAAUGUAUGUAGCUGAGGAGUCCUAACAGACCGAGGGCUUGAC